rnacentral:lncRNA from 1 species
AAGAAUCGAACACGGACUUCAAAAAGACCCGGACACCGUAAUACUGCAGACACCGCCGCAAUCGCCGCCGCUGCCAUCCGCUGUGUCCCCCAUCAUGACGCUGCUUGGUGCGACAGCAGACUGAAACGACAGCACAGAGCCGAGGUGGCGGCCCGAGGUGGCGGUGCCGAUCAGGUUGCUGCCGAUAAGCGCGAGGAGAAGGUGUAGAGAGGGGAAGAUGCAAGAGAGGGGAGGAGGCUGGGACUUAGGCCGCCGCCGUCAAGCCAGCAGGGGGAUGCUGCCACUCUUGGACGUCAGGGCCUCCUGUCGACAAGAGCCCACAAGUCCACAGACUGUGCAGGCUCUGCGGCGCGAGUUUACCGGGAUAUCGACGAGGGGGGGCGGGGUAUGUGUAUGCGGCGCGGUGGGGCCUGUGUGCUGGCACUUGUCUUUCCUUCCCGGGCCGAAUUGGCCACACGUAAAAGCUGAAACUAAGAGUAGC